rnacentral:rRNA from 1 species
UGGGGAAUAUUGCACAAUGGGGAAAGACCCUGAUGCAGCGACGCCGCGUGAGUGAAGAAGUAUCUCGGUAUGUAAAGCUCUAUCAGCAGGGAAGAAAAUGACGGUACCUGACUAAGAAGCCCCGGCUAACUACGUGCCAGCAGCCGCGGUAAUACGUAGGGGCAAGCGUUAUCCGGAUUUACUGGGUGUAAAGGGAGCGUAGACGGCGGAGCAAGUCUGAUGUGAAAGGCAUGGGCUCAACCUGUGGACUGCAUUGGAAACUGUCAUACUUGAGUGCCGGAGGGGUAAGCGGAAUUCCUAGUGUAGCGGUGAAAUGCGUAGAUAUUAGGAGGAACACCAGUGGCGAAGGCGGCUUACUGGACGGUAACUGACGUUGAGGCUCGAAAGCGUGGGGAUCGAACAGGAUUAGAUACCC